GGGGGUGUAGCUCAGUUGGCUAGAGCGCGGCACUGUCACUGCCGAGGUCGCGGGUUCGAGCCCCGUCGCUCCCGCCA
rnacentral:tRNA from 1 species